rnacentral:rRNA from 1 species
GAUGAACGCUGGCGGCGUGCCUAAUACAUGCAAGUCGAGCGAACAGACCAGGAACUGGUUCCUCUGACGUUAGCCGCGGAAGGGAGAGGAACACAUGGAUAACCUACCUAUAAAACUGAGAUAACUACGGGAAACCGGAGCUAAUACCGGAUAAUAUAUUGAACCGCAUGGUUCAAUAGUGAAAGACGGUUCUGCUGUCACUUAUAGUUGGAUCCGCGCCGCCUUAGCUAGUUGGUAAGUUAACGGCUUACCAAGGCAACGAUGCGUAGCCGACCUGAGAGAGUGAUCGGCCACACUGGAACUGAGACACGGUCCAGACUCCUACGGGAGGCAGCAGUAGGGAAUCUUCCGCAAUGGGCGAAAGCAUGUCGGAGCAACGCCGCGUGAGUGAUGAAGGUCUUCGGAUCGUAAGACUCUGUUAUUAGGGAAGAACAAAUGUGUAAGUAACUAUGCACGUCUUGACGGUACCUAAUCAGAAAGCAACGGCUAACUACGUG